UAGCUCGUAACACAUCUCACAAUAAUCUGUUAUGUUGAAACAAUAGGUAUUAUUGGUUGAAGCAUCGAUAGAAAAGUAUAACGACACUUGUGGUUUUAUGCGGAAACCGCUAGAAAUUAGAGAAAAAAACAAACAUCAUUUUUGCGAAUUUGUCAAAAAACUGUUUUCUCUUGAGUUACAAUGAUUUCGAAAUAUGCUAUAAAGCUCAACAGUUUCAACAACUUCUUCCUAUACAUAUAAGUUUCAAGUUAUAUGCAAAAUAUAACUAUAAGAUUGGUAGUACGUAAUGUUAAUCCGGCUGCGCACCGCGUCGUGAGACAGCCAGCCAACAUUGUUUAUAUUAAUAAAGAUAAGGGGAUUCGCAAGGCCUCAUGGAGCCGGAUUAAUAUACUAACUACAUACUAACUGCUAAGGCCGAGCAGCGAGAUAUUUUUACGUAUAACUCGGAAGUUAAAGCCAACCGUCAUUAUAUGUAUAGGAAAAAAUUGUACAAAAUGUUGAGCUUUACGACAUAUUUUAAAAUCAUACGAAGCAAGAUUUUCGACAAAUUCAUCAAAAUGGUUAUUUUUCUCCAAUUUUCUGCGGUUUCCGUGCAAUAAUACUAGCGUCGUUACGUUCCUCUAUUGAUGCUCCAACGAAUGACACUCUUUUCACGAGGAUCCAUCGACUUCCAUAAAGUGAAACGUAUUCAAUAUUUAAUAUUUAAAUUUAAUUACUUUUGAAUUUAUCGUGCGUGCCUCGCGAUCAGAAAUUCCUUUAAAAGUGUGCCUGGUCACGCGGAUAUGAAUUCUAGUGUCUGUACGGGAAACUAGAAACAAGCAUGCGGCUAAAGAACUGGGAACGUUGAAAUAAUUGAAACCGCAUUCAUGAGAUACUCUGUAGGUAGGUUUGUCCCUGUCGAGAAAUCAAUGCAAAUACAACGAAUUUCAUGGCACCACGUGUCAAGAGUAACGAGUGUAGAGUGCGGACGCGCUGGACGAGUAUAAGCGUAGAAGAGGAACGUUAGGGUGAAAGCAAUGUUGGAAGGAUUGCAGGAGAAGAGGGUAUAAGGUAACAUACAUCACGUUCCCAGUUUAUGGUCCGAUACGCUCCUAGGAAUUGGCACCCGUGCUGAGCUUUCCCGCAAAUGUAAGGAACGUAGGGGUACGAAGCAACGAGAUACGAGGCGUUAUGGCUCUUCCUGGCUCGUAACCUCUGGUCAUAAAGCUACUGCACGCUAAAAUAUUGUCCGCCGCCACGUCUCCACGCCUACGCGUCUAUCCGUCGAUCUAUCUUAAUGCUAUUAUCGUAAUUUAUUAGUGGAGUUCCCGGAGAAUGAAUCGAUCCAUCGUAGCCGCCCCAAAAACGGAUCACGGAUAAUCUAAGACGAUCACGCUCGUAAUGAGACUAUUAAAUAAAAGCGAUACCAACUCAAAUUAGUUCACAUCCGUUUAAGUGUACUAUUCGAACAUCGUAUUUUUGUAAGGAAGGAUGGUUAUUAUCAACCACGUAGAAUGCAAUACAGAACCACAUGAAAUAUAAUACAAAAACAAAUAACGUAUUUUCAUUAUCUCUAAUUAUAGAAUCUUCUCCCGGUCGUUUUAGUCACCUUAGUUACGCAAUUUAUCACUUAUCGAUUAAUUGAUAAAUACACGAGAUCAAAUUAAUAUUUAAGAUCCAAAAUGCUUAAGCAGAACGGGGAUCUAUAAUAAGCCAACAUUUAGCAAAGUAGUAUACGAAGAUGUAUAUAUAGAAUUAAUAAAACUGUUAACUUAAUAGAACUCAUUAAUAACUGUUACUAGCUGUUUUUAUAAAUCGAAAUAUCCGUCUUGGCAACUUAAACUAUGGAAGAAAGAUGUUCAUCAAAUAUAUCCACAAGGACAAAAAACGGAGACUGCGCAAAAGACAUUUAAAUAAUGUAGUGUUUCGUAUUUCGAAGAAAAUAUAAGUAAGAAUGACAACUUUGUGAAAGAAACAUUGUGCCAAUUGAAGUCCUCAUUCUCACACUCAGGAUUUAUAAUCAACCGUACAAAUUUAGUGAUGGUAUUAUUUGAUCUCUGCAUUGUCGCUAACAAUCUGCGUCGUAAUAAAUCAUUUCCUCGACAUUGAUUGAAAGCUUAAUUGCACAAAAGACUGGCAAGUCUUAAAAUUUUUAAACGAUCCAAUUAUCGAACUAUUCAUCUUGUUCAAAUGCAUUUAGUUUUACAAUUUAUAAUUUCAAAUUAUAAAUAAUAUUACAAAAAUAUUUUUACUGGCGCAAUUAAUCAGAAAUGAACAAACAGUAUUUUUUAAAUAUUUUCAAAAUCGAUAGGCGAUUUUUAGACGGUUUGAAGAAAUAUAUAUAUAUAUAUAUAUAUAUCACAACAAUUGUUCAAGGCGUACACCAAAGCAAGACUGCGAUUUAAGGUGAUGCGCAUCCGCGAGCGUACUUACACGCAUUCAUAGACACGCUUACACACGUACGAUAUUAUUAUCUCGUGAUUCAUAGCGCGCAUUCAUAAAUGUUCCCAAGCUGUAUAACGGCACGGUACACAGCGCGCGACGGAUGGACGGACACGACCUGGCGACCACGUAUCCAGUUCUUCUUCGGGCGACCUGGUACAAUCGCUGACAAAAGUUCAUUAUAUCUUCGACCUCGACCAAAGCCCCGUUGAUGCACGUAUAUACAAUGUUCGCUUCGUUUCGGUUCGGAGUUACUGUUGUUGCAUUUUCAAGACGUAAGCGUCUUACACGAAGGUGAUAGUGCACGGUAGGAGAUGAAACAAUAGAAAAUAAACCACGGAAUGUAUGAACUAUUGUAAUAUAGUAAAUUAUUACAAAAAAUUUGUUGAAUAUUUGAUCGUGAACGAAAAAAAUGUGUUCAAUUUCUGGUUGUCGGUGAACUUUUGCACGUGAGUAUACGCAAGAAAGAUUGCCGGAUUGUGUGGCGUGCCGCGGCUGCCACCGUCCGCGCCACGAACGUCCAAAUGCUCCAGAGAAGAAGAAAGGGAAACAGAGAAGUAGGAGAGAAACCGAUCGGUCAAGAAAGAAAUAAAGACGAAAAGCUAAAUAGAAAAGGAAGAAGAGAGAAGAGACGAGAAGGGAAAAGAAGGGAACAGAAGGGACGAGAAGAGAAGAGAAGAGAAGAGAAGAGAAGAGAAGAGAAGACAAGGGAAGAGAACAGUGUUGCAGGCGUCCAUGGAAGGCACGUCGUGCAGAACGUCGGCGAACUCGUGUGUGUUCCGUGUUCCGAAUGCACGGAACAAGCGCUGCUUGUCCGCGGCCACCUGAGUUAUGAUCGCUCUGUGCCCACCCUGGCUGCUCGGCUGGCUGCUUGGCUGCCUACCUCCUUGCUUCCCUAACUGCCCUCUUCUUCUUCACCCUUCUACUUUCACAGCGGCCAUCUUGACUCCAGGAACCGGUUAGCUCCUCCGACUUGGUAUAUUCCACACGGUGAGUUUUACGGACACACAUAAACACCGAAUGAACAGUGUUCGGCGACAUCAGCGACUGUAGCGCCCUCGGAAGUCCAUCCGAGUCUACUCGACGUUAAUGGCUCGUGUGGCGCGAGUUCCUUUGUACUGUUUAAUAACGUCGUUAUAUUACCAAGCACGGUCGUCCGGCAGAAUUGAUUUUUAAAUCCACUCGUUUCAAAGUACCGCCCCGAUUCGCUUGCCUUUGUCGAUGCUUUGAAACAUCGAUGCACAGAUGCGUUAGUUAUCGAUAGUUGUUCUCCAUGCUCGUUUGAAGGAUCAAAGCGCGACCGCGAUUAUCGUUGCGUUGAGCUGAGGAAAUUUUAAAGAUAUUACAAAAGAAGAAAAACCACGGAUUGUUUCUCGCGAAACGCGUGAACCGAGAGAUAACACGCUUUAAUAUUCGUGCACGUCUCGAUAGCUGUGUAAGAUUUAUCUUUCAUUAGUAAGUCAUUUGCAUUGAAUAGACACGUUAUGGGUUAACGGGUGUCUCGUUAAUUGUUUGUUCCUGUUCCUUGUCUAACUGCUGACGCCGAUACUGGCGUGGCCUGACGCUUUGACAAGGUACACCGUAGAUAUUACAGCGGUUUGUAGUAUAGCAUAUCAAAUUGCGGUAUGCGAAAAGGUGUAAGAGAGCCAACCGCAGCCCACGGCAACGAGGCGUGGUCGCCGCAAUUACCUCGAUAGAGUUACAAGACUUGUUUUAUGCUCUCGCACAAAUUUAUUAGCCCCAUUCGCGUCAGUUUAAUUACGAAUAAGAUCCGCUGUGAUUCUUUCUCUUUUUCCUCCUUCUCUUUUUCCUAGAGGAAACGUACAGACGUUACAGCUACCUCUUCAUGAGGAUCGGGAACUUCAUUCGGGACCAGUGCAUCUAUACGUGUUACUACACGUUCGAAAAUCCUAAUGAAUUAUACUUACACAGAAGCGCGCUUGAUAUCAAUCGCGUUCAUUUUAUACUAGACGCAUUCCUUGAAACUCCUGCGGUAAUUAGUUUUACCGCUAAACGCUUAGCGGAACCCGAGAGGCUGCUAACUGCUUUCCACCUACGCAACACCGCUUCGCUUCUUCCCUUCUCUACACCUAUUUUCCCUCUUUCUUUCUCUUUGCUCUUUCCGUCCUCAUCAUCGUUAUUCCGCUCGCUUUUUCUCCCUUUACUCCCUUGAAUCUAGGUACCGCCUCGUCGACUCUCUCGCUUCGCCGCUAACAGUGAGCAAUUAAGCGGAGCAAAGCCAAGGAAUAUGUAUUAUGAAAUUAAUUAUAUCGUGAUAUUGGAGUCGCGAGCUGGCGUGCAAGGUGUAGAUAAGCAUUUAAAUUGACACAUUCCUGAUGUAUCUUAGGCUGUGCGGAUAUCGCAUUUACGAUAAACAUUGAUUUUAUUACUGCUUCGACUGUAUGCUGCAGCAGCAGCUUUUACAACCACACAUGCAGAUAAGCCUUUUAUAUUUUGUACUUGCUAAGUUAAUUAUUUUGAGUUCCAUGCACGAUUCUUUUUAAUAUCUUUCACCUGCGUUUGCAUAUUAUUUACGAAUUACACGUCGACACUUUCUCCUAAUUCCUGUUACCGUAAGUAUUAGUAAAAAAAAAGUAAUAUUGAAAAUAUUGCGUCGCAAAGUUAGAUCAAGAUAAAUUUUUAGAAAUAUCGUUAUCGCUAAAAAAUUAUACUUUCUAUGCAAAUAAGUCGUGGAAAAAAUAUUGGAAAUAACGCGUGUCCUGUUUGUACUCGUAAACGGAGAUUCGUUAAAGGAAAGAAGAAACAGCGAAGAAUGUCAGUAAGCGUGGCGCUCGACAUCGAAUCGCAGCCCCUCCACAAACGUGGAAGACAAAUCGGCCCCGGUGGGUGCAAACGUCGUAAUUAUCGGAGGCGGUAAUCUCUCGACGUGGAAGUGGAGGAUGAGGAGAAGGAAGAAGAAGAGGCGCUCAGUGAAAACUGCGUGACAGAGUGGCUCGGCCUGUUCACCCUUGGCGUCCUCCGAGUUGGCGUACCCUUUUGCCCGGAGUGUC